GGCUGCAGUAAUGUGGUCGGUGUAUCCGUCCAUCGUGGUGAAGAGGGAGCUGAGCCAAAAGGCAAAGCUCUCAAUUUACCGGUUAAUCUAUGUUCCUACCUUCAUCUAUAAUCAUGAGCUUUAGGUUAUGACCGAAAGGGCAAGGUCACAAAUACAAGCGGCUGAAAUGAGCUUCCUCCCCAGGGUGGCUGAGCGCUUCCUUAGCGAUAAGAUGAGGAGCUCUGUCACCUUAGAGGAGCUCAGAGUAGAGUCGCUGCUCCUCCACAUCGAGAGGAGCCAGUUGAGGUGGCUCGGGCAUCUCGUCCGGAUGCCUCCUGGACGCCUCCCUGGGGAGGUGUUCCGGGCAUGUCCCACGGGUAGGAGGCCCCGAGGAAGACCCAGGACCAGCUGGAGAGACUAUGUCUCUCGGCUGGCCUGGAAACACCUUGGGGUCCCACUGGAAGAGCUGGAAGAAGUGUCCAGGCAGACGGAAGUCAUACAGCAUCAUACAAGUUAAUGGUGCUAACAACCUUUGAGGCCUCUUCCUAAAGUACCUUAACUGUUCCUCUGUGAGCUGCUUAGUGUCACAGUUUCGGUCUGGUUCCUGCUUUAGUUUGAAAGGAUUUCCCGCUCUGCUCACAUCACAACCAUGCCACUGUCAUGUUUUAGUUACAGUUCCUGUUUUACUUUGAAAGGACUUCCUGCUCUGCUCAUAUCACAGCCAUGUCACUUAUGUUUUGUCUCAGUUCCUGUUUUAAUUUUAAGGUCUUCCUGUUUUAACCACCACAGCUGUUUUUCACGCAAUCACCGGUUCACACCAGACACACCUGUUCAUAAUGAGUGAUCAGCCUUAGUAUUUAAACUCCAGCUCACACACUAGUCAUUUGCCAGAUUGUUACUCUUUGCGUAUACACACACCACCUGCCAGCAUUUCUGUAUAGCUCACCUUGUUUUUUGAUCCUGCCUGAACCUAACUUCUGAUUCCUGCCUGCUCCUUGUCUGCACCUCAGCUGUGCUCAUUGUUAGUGAAACCUUGCCUCUCCCCUGAACUGAGUUUGCCUGCUCCCUUUGUGCUUUUACCUGAGUCCCACUGUGUAUGACCUUGCCUGAACUUUACUCUGCCUGUGCCUAAUAAAUCCUGUUACUCUCAUCUGCAACUGUCUGAACCGUGCAUAUGGGUCCUUCACCUCAGAAGCCCCUGACACUUAGCAAUUUAGGAUCAGUAAAUACUAUUCAGCUUAUAAUAAACCAAGUUUAUUAGAAUAACUACAAAAACUAUAGCUGUUCAUUUUUUAUUCUGACAUAGAAUAAACACUGACUCAGUGUUUUAUAAAUUAACAAGACUUUGAGUGAAUGAAUGUUGAGGUUUAGUGUUGUGUGAACAACAAACUAUAUCAGCAACUGACAUGAAAUCAAUGCUGGUUGAGUGGAGUCUAUUCUAACUUUAAAGCUGAAAGUCAUAGCAGUUUUGAACAAAACACCCUUUAGUCAAACAUUAAUAAACCAGAUGGAUAUUCUAUUUAAAUAAUGAGAAGUGAUUCAUUUUUCUACUUACUACUGUCCUUUAUUGAUUACCACUAAAUUUUCUGACCAUUUUUUCAACUAGACAGAAAUAACUAACAACUGACAAAGUUAUCUUCCUCAGUCCGCGGGAAGUCCCACACAUUAGUUCAACUUCACUUCCUACAUGUAAAGAAGCAGGUGGACAAAAGACUGAGUAGGUGUGAAGAACCAUCCCCCAAGAAGGACCCAAAUUGUAGUAGAACCUACAAACGCUUCUGCUGCAGUUUCAGUUGACAAGACUCAACUUUCAGAGAACCUCACCUGAGUCAUGAGAACCAGAUAUAUUUGUGAACUGCUUAACAAGGAAGUUCUUCGGGGAUUCAUCACUUUAAAGAUUGUGUUCAAAUCAAGGCUGUCGGUACCAGCACUCCUUGGGUAGUUUAUGUUAAAAAAACCUUUUUUUUUCUCUUUCCCCUUGCCCUUUUUCCACUGUUACCUGCUGCCUAGUUGCCUGAUUUAUUCAGCUGUGGUCAAUUUUCCUUCGCACUUAAUCUCCUAUUCUCUCUCCAUUAGCUGCCAGAUCGUCUGCCAUUACCUCAGAGAAGCACAUUCGACACCAGGUGUAAGUUUUAUUUGCACUUUCAACGUUUUAGAGAACGCUAGUAUGAGAGACAGUUUUCUCAUCAGCGCCUUCCUGUCCUUCCCUGUCCUGCUCCCCAACGACCUGCUACACCCGUGGAUUAACCUAGAGGCCCACAAGCUGUUUUCAUUCAGUAAUUACCUGUGUAUUUAGUCCCAGCUUGUACCCUAGUUCUCUGCCAGAUCGUAGCGUGUUAUCACCUCAGUCCAGCAUUUGAUUUUCUGUUACUGUUCAAGUAAAAUAAGAUAAGAUAAGAUAAGAUAGAUCUUUCUCAUGUUCUUACGUAAGAUCCUGUUUUUUUUUUCAUACUUACCUGUCUUUGCCUGUUCCCUGUGGGUAUUUUGCCUGUGUGUUCUGGAUCUCCUGUUGGCGAUCGCUGCCUGUCUGACGCUGAUUUUUUUGCCCACCGUUUGUGGAGUGAUUCUUCAUUAAACGAACCUCCAAGCUAGUUCUGUCUCCAGCUGUGCAUGUAGGUCCUGCAUCACGCUCGUUUCCUGACAGUCCCUGACAGGAGGUUCGGGACAUUCCAUUCGCUCCUGUUCAGUAAAAGGGGACACUCAGUGGGCUGGAUCAGGUCCCUGCUGAGCCGUUCUUGUUCUCAGACCCCUGGCGCUCGUUUCCGUUCAUCCCCUUUUAUCAGCUCCCCGCAGCAACAGCUCCCCAUCAGGGUUCUGGGACGGACUCCAAUUUUAUUCCUGCCGACCUGGUCCAUGGCCCUGGUCUUCUUACAGCUCCCAUUGGGUACCACGAUCUCGAAACUGCUUUUAAUAAGUCCAGAGCCACGUCAUUACCCCCGCACCGCCCCUAUGACUGUGCUAUAGAUCUGAUCCCUAACUCCCCCCACAUAGAGGCAGGUUGUACUCGCUCACUAAUCCAGAACGUCAGGCUAUGGAGGGGAAAAUAACAGAAUCCUUGGCUGCUGGUCUUAUUCGACCAUCUACCUCAGGGAUAUCCAAAGUCCGGCCCGGGGGCCAAUCACGGCCCGCAGUAAGAUUUCAUACGGCCCGCAACUUCGGUCUUAUCAUGUAUUAUUUAUGGCCCACUAGCACUGUCUAACUGUUAGACAGUGCUAGUGGCCUGUGAGUGGGGGGAGGGGGAGGGUUGGACCACGUGUGCUAGGGGUUGCUAUGGUGGGGCCAAUGAACGGAGGUUUACGGCUUUGUUGGUCUCGUUUGAAGCCGAAGCCCGGGAGCCUCCAUCUUGAAAAGUUCCCGUUACUUUCGCUUUUGAAUUUAGCGAGUUAUGGCUCACAGAAGUUGGAAAAAAUUAUUUUUCGCUCACGAGUUGGAGCAGAACACUUGUAGUUUUUGGACCAGUGUGGAUGUACUGUGUGUUUUGGACCGAAACGCUUUAUUGGAUUACAUUCUCUGGAUCGUAACGAACGAAAAGAGACCACACAUGACGUGAUUGAGCGCGAUUUGAAGCUCAGAAGUUGUCAAAAGUAAGUGAUGGAAAAUUUAUGGAUUUAUGGUUAUUGUUUUUUAAACAUUUGGUGACUGUUCUGUGGUUGUUGUAGCUGGAAAUGGUUUAUAUGGUCGGAAAGACGAAAGUCUAAGCUUUCCAACGGUGUGCAGCUUGUGUCGCUGAGGUUUAGCAGCUAGAUUGUACACAGUCAUAACUCGCAUGAUGCCCUCAGGUUUCCUUCAGGAGGGACAGUAGAACUUAAGGGGUUGAAUAAGAUUUGGAUAUAACUGUUGUUGUUGUGUACCUGUAACAAACUAUUACUCUGAAAGAUGUUGUAAAAGAUAAGAGCAAAAUGUACUUGUUUUAAACUUUAAUGAUAAGAGACAACUUUGCAUUACAUAUAACUCCUGUUUAAAAUGUUCAUGAGGCAAAGAUAUUUAUCAAACUCAUGUAAAUUUAAGGUAUUUCAUACAGUUGUUAUCUGACUCCCCAGAUAUGAGUUGUCGUUUAAGAGUUGUUCACGUCUGCCUGAGCGGCUUAUAUUUGGUUACACUGCCAUUUGAAAAAUAAAAAGAAUUGUGACGAUGAAAAUUGUUUCAUAAUUGUGUACAUUGUAACAUGUAACUUUUUUGGUUAAAAAACAUCAGAAGCAUCUACUGGCCCCCAGGCAUCUUCACUUUAUCAAAUCUGGCCCUUUGUGCAAAAAGUUUGGACACCCCUGAUCUACCUCUCCUGCUGGAGCUGUUUUUUUCUUUAAGAAGAAAGAUGGAGGUGUUUGUCUGUGCAUCGACUAUUGGGGAUCAGAUCACUAUUCGGAAUAGGUAUCCCCUACUAUUGAUCUCAUCGGCUUUUGAGUUAAAGAGGUGCGUACCAGGCUGGAUCUGAGGAAUGCCUAUCACUUAGCCAGGGUGAGAAGGGGGGGGCAAGUGGAAGACCGCCUUUAACACACUGGCAGGACAUUAUAAGUACUUAGUAAUGCCUUUUGGCCUAACAAACGCCCCAGCGGUCUUCCAGGAACCUAGUGAACGACGUACUGUGCGAUAUGUUGAACUGGUUUGUUUUCGUUUAACCAUGGACCCCAUCAAGGUUAAAGCCGUAGAGGAAUGGCCUACUCCCACAUCACGCAUGGCGUUACAAAGAUUCCUAGGCUUUGCUAACUUUUAGCGUUGCUUCAUCCAAGGUUUCAGCCAAAUAGCGGCACCCCUCCACAAGUUAAAAUCCACCAGGACUCGGUUGUUCUGGACCUCAGUACCAGGUUCUCGUCUGCUCCUGUACUCAAUCUCCCAGAUCCGGAUGUCCCUUUUCUGGUGGAGGUGGAUGCCUCAGAAACUGGGGUGGGGGCCGUCCUCCCAACGGAGUCCUAGGGAUUCCAGAUGGCACCGCUGCGCCUUCUUUUCCAGGAGACUAUCCCGUGCUAAACGGAAUUACGACGUGGGGACCCAGGAACUCUUGCCGGUCAAGCUGGCAUUGGAAGAAUGGAGACACUGGUUGGAGGGGCCAAGCACCCUUUCACAGUCCUCCCCAACCACAAGGAUCUGGAGUACAUCAGGACUGCAAAGAGGUUGAAUGCCUGGCGGGCUAGGUGGGCCAUUGAUUUCAAGCGUUUUCAUUUUGUCUUGUCUUUUAGGCCCAGUACCCGCAACAACAAGGCGGAUGCCCUAUUCAGACAAUAUAUGCCCCCAGAGCAACAGGAGGAGCCUAAGUUCAUCCUCCCACCAUCUGUUCGAUUGGGGGCAGCUGUUGAGGUUGAGGAGGAGGUCAGUCAGGCAGCUACAAGGAACCCCUUCGCUCUAAGGUGGUCCACGGGUUCCAGCACCCUCUCUUCUCACCACAACUAGGAGAGGCUGUGGUACCAAGCCAUUAAAAAGGCUUUGUUAACAAAGUACUGUAUGGAAUUUGGCCUGUCUCUAGGUCACCCUCACAGGACCAAAAGCCUAAUGAACUAGGAACAGAAGCUAUCAACUAGAGACCACUGGUCUGAUCCAUGUCUCUGGUGUCUUUUGUUUACCACAUUUAGGCAUCACAACUGGAAAGAACUGGAUCGUCACUUAAACAAAGGAGUGUGAGGUGUGAAGACCACUUAACAAGUAUGCAUGGGUACAACAUGGAGCUGGAUGUUGCCUAAACCAACUUCACAGUACAGCAUCCUGAUUAUAUAGGUGCUGUGAGCAAUUCACAAAAUCUAUUCAUGAAUCAUUUUUACACUGAAACCACGCUGCCACUGGACUCUAGAGCAGUGGAGACGCGUUCUGUGGAAUGACAAAGUUCUCCAUCUAGCAAUCUGAUGGACAAGUCUCGAUUUGGUUGGUGCCAAUGAACGGUACUUGUCUGACUGCAUUGUGCCAAGUGUAAAGUUUGGUGGAGGGGGAAAUUAUGGUGUAGGGUUGGUUUUCAGGAGCUGGGCUUGGCCCCUUAGUAUCAGUGAAAGGAACCCUGAAUGCUUCAGCAUACCAAGACAUUUUGGACAGUGUUUGGUGUGGAUUAACUUGACUGGCUUGCACAGAGUCCUGACCUCAACCCAAUAGAACACCUUUGGGAUGAAUUAGAGCAGACACCGAGAGCCAGGCCUUCUUGUCCAACAUCAGUGUGUAACCUCACAACUGCUUCAGGAAGAAUGGUCAAAAUGCCCAAAAAGCGCACUCUUAAACCUUGUGGACAGCCUUCCCAGAAUAGUUAAAACUGUUAUAGCUGCAAAAGGUAGACUGACGUCAUAGUGAACCUUAUAGAUUAAGAAUGGGAUAUCACUUACCACUUUGAGGGACUGCCCACAGAGAAGUCAAAAGACUGCCGCACUUUAGCUAACAUCCUGUGAACUUAACUUAAAACAGAACUUUGACUUUAAAAAAUACCACGGGACCUAACACACUUAGUGUACAAUGAACAUAAAUAAAAACAUAGACAGAGACUUUGCUUUUGGUUAACAAAGGACUUCUGCCUUAUUAGGUAACACAGCACUCAUACAUUUAGUUAACACAGUACUGCAAAUCAACACAAAACUUUGACUUUACUUGACUUAAAAAUCUAAGUUGGUGUCAUCAGUUAUGUUUUAGAGAACUGAAAACCAUUUGUGGUCUUAGUUUUAUAUAUUUUAUACAAUAUCCCGUUAGUCCAGACGUUAUCACAGGUUGAAAACAGUAAGCAGAGAAAACAGUACAGUCGGUUUGUGGCAGCACAGCCAUUUUUUUCGGGUGCACCAGUCUGUUUGGAAGGAGCGAGUUGUCUUCUGUCCCUUAGUUUGAAGCAAACCUUUAAGCUCCGGUGUUGGUCCUCCAUCAGUUAUGAGCUUUUGUUUUAACUGAAAAUUCAGUUUUGAAAAUGUCCUAAGACGACUUAUAUAAUUCUCCUCCAUCUUGAAAGAUGGGAAAUAAGCUAACUGAGUUAGUUUGCUAACUCACUGGAGCAGCGCCAACGUCACUGGUGCGAAGAGGCGCCCGACAAAAACAAAACAACAGAAUCGUCUGACAGUAGCAGCCAAGCACCUGUCGGCCUCUGUAGAGGCAGUUUCCUCUUCUGCCUCAGUUUUCUCUGCCUGUUUUUGCGCGAUCAAGAAAGUAAUUAUGUUAAACACACAUUGAUAAAUGCAUUAAUGGGCUUGUAGAAAGUGACGGUAAAGAAAAACACUGCAUUUUGUUGCUGACAAGCUGUGAAACAGGAAGUGAUCGCUCCACAUAUUAACCCAUGUAAGGAUGGCUCGAUAAUGGGAGCUGGAGCCCUGGGCUGAGGCUCAGCUCAUUGAUGCCUCUUCUCGUGUUUCUCCCCGUAUUCGGGCAAGAAAUGCGCAUAUUCAGUAAUUUUACUUGUGGAAAUGUUAAAUUUUGAAAAAUGUAGAGGAAAUACAUUCAUAACACAGAUCAGUGGACAGAUAUUGAUUUCUAUUUAAUGUUAUUAUGUACUCAUAUUAUGGUAUUUUGUCAGGUGAUGUGAGGCCCCGCCUCUUCUGCCUACCCUGACCACACGUCACUGGGUUAACCCCACCCACCUGCUGGUUGAGAGCGUAAAUAAUUAACUCCCUGGGAGGCGGGCUGGCUGGUAUUCUUUAGCGCGGGUGAGCACCUGAUCGGGUUCUUUGUUGGCUCAUGGCUGGUGCUUUCAAGCGCAGAUGAGCACCUGAUCAGGUCGUUGGUCCAUCUGUGGCUGCGGUGGUGUGGUGUGUGUGCAAUUGCUACAGGUAAGCGGAGUUACCUUAUCCCGUAGGUGCUGUGAUGCAGGGUCUUGGAUCUCCCAGGCGCAGGGCUCAUGAGCCACUCUUUCUUUCUUUCUAGCCCUUCACAGAGCCACCGUUCUAAUAAUGAGGCUAUUCAAGCUAGUAUUAGCCUGAGUUGCAGCGGGUGGCAUUCAGGUAACAUGGUUGUCUUAUGUUUAAAUCCCUCAGUUGCACCCUGCCUGUUACUUUACUGUGUUCUUUGAUUUAGUGUGCUGGAGGCUGGGGAGAGCAGAGUCUCGCUGGCGGAUGACGGCUGUGGGUGCAGCAACCGGGAAGCACAGCUGGGUACAGAUACAACUUGCCCGUGGGUCUGUGACACUGCAGUUUCUAUCUUUUGUGUCUAUGGGCUUAUGCCAUAGUUUAGGUUCCUUCCACUGCUCAGGCUGUACGACGGGGGAACCAGUGAUUGUUGGUGUUUGUAUCGAGUGAUUAGUUGGUGUUGGUACAACAGAGGGCCGGUUCACCAAACCCCUGUCGUGCAUUAUAACUGCUGUGACUCAUUUCUGCUUUGUUUUAUUAAGACAGGUUGUUUGGGUUGGGUUUGUUUUUUUUUUGUUAUUUUAUUUUUAUUUGGUUUUGUUUGCUUUAGUUUCUUUCCAUGCAUGGUGUGAUUUUGGUUUGCAUUAAUUUUUGGUGUGUUUAAAUCACUUACCAACUUAUGUUUUGAGUGUUUCAACUUAUUAAUGAAUAAUAAACUUAUUAAAUAAUAAUAAUAAACAUUGUCAAUUGUAAUAGUC